rnacentral:misc_RNA from 1 species
GAUGAAGAACGUAGCGAAAUGCGAUACGUAAUGUGAAUUGCAGAAUUCAGUGAAUCAUCGAGUCUUUGAACGCACAUUGCGCCCCCUGGUAUUCCGGGGGGCAUGCCUGUCCGAGCGUCAUUGCUGCCCUCAAGCACGGCUUGUGCGAUGGGUCGCAUCGUCCCCGAAGGCCCUCCGGGGCGGGUGGGACGGGCCCGAAAGGCAGCGGCGGCGUCGCGGUCAUCCGAUCAGCCCAAGCGUAUGGGGACAUCCGUCACACGCUAGGGGCGCGGACCGACGCCCGCCUGGAACGUCACACUUCUCAAGGUUUGACCUCGGAUCAGGUAGGGAUACCCGCUGAACUUAAGCAUAUCAAUAAGCGGAGGA